rnacentral:rRNA from 1 species
UUCCCCCAGUAACUGCGAGUGAAGAGGGAAGAGCUCAUCAUUGGAAUCUGACAGCGUUACGCUGUCCGAGUUGUAGAUGAGGAGUAGUCCAUCUGGACUGCAUGGCGUCCAAGUACAAUAGGCCGUCAGUGGGACAUCAUAGAGGGUGACAAUCCCGUCCUUGAUGCCAAUGUGCAAGUCCGUUACGAUGGCUAUCUCAGAGAGUCGAGCAGUUUGGGAUUUGCUGCUUAAACAUGGGAGGUAGAUUCCUUCUAAAGCUAAAUACAGGCGAGAGACCGAUAGAGAACAAGUACCGCAAGGGAAAGAUGAAAUAGAACUCUGUGAAGGGAGUCAAAAGGCGUGAAAUUGUUGCGAGAGAAGCGAUUCAAGUCAGCGUAGCUAGGCCCAUCAAGCCUCUUUGGCUUUGGACUAGCUUUGCCAGCGGUCUUGUCCCUUAGAGACUUGACUUUUUUAUGAUGUCCAGCCUGGUAUGCACAGGUAGCCCUCCUCUUGGGGGGGCCAGGACAUGGCUGGUGGAAUGGCUUGCAAUCGACCCGUCUUGAAACACGGACCAAGGAGUCUAACAUGUAUGCGAGUAUAAGGGUGGCAAACCCGUAUGCGCAAUGAAAGUAACUUUCAUGAUUGAGAAUGGCCUGAUGACCAGACAAGCAAUAUAUUCAUGUCCCUCGUACGGCCAUUGCCCAAGUUCCGUGGUAGAUCCCAUGAACAUGGAGUUGGAGCAUACAUGCUAGGACCCGAAAGAUGGUGAACUAUGCCUGGACAAAGCGAAGCCAAAGGAAACUCUGGUGGAGGCUUGUAGCGAUUCUGACGUGCAAAUCGAUCGUCUGAUCUGGGUAUAGGGGCGAAAGACUAAUCGAACCAU